GAAACCCUCGUUCCUGCCAAACUAGCUGACAAGUAACAUCUCUGUCGCCCUCACAGCAUGUUAAGCGUAUCUCCCCAGCACUGCUUCCAUACUCAUCAACUAACAUCUUAUUUUAUAUGUUGUGAAGUAAGGCUGGGCACUAAAUAACUAACAAUAUAUAUCGCGAUAGAUACGUGGUUAAUAUUAAUAGAAAAUACUUCGAUAGAAUGUUAAUUUUUUUUUACUGAACUCCGAGUUAGAACCGCACAGCAUUCUGGGGGAUGUAGGCUUAAUACCUAGUUUACGCGGCAAGAUUUUUAUAUCCCAACCAGUUUCCCCUUUCCAACAAUCUUAAGACGCCAUAAUUAUCGAGAUGGUUCUAAAUAUAAACUUAAGCUAUAUCCCUUGCGUAUGCAGGGUGUUUAGAGUGCCUGGUCCGCUCUUAAGGGCGUCGGGUGUCCACAAAUUACCGCCAUUGCUUCUUCCUAGUCGGCCAUGUUUGUUCAGGUUUCCCGUCUGACGUCUGAACGAUGAACCCCAAUUAAUGCAGCGGGAACAUCACACCUGCAUGUCACACUUCCUGCCUCUCCAUCCCUCGCUGUGCUUUCGUUCUAUAUUCAUCCGAGAGGCGGCAGAACCAAACUGACGACUAGAGAGGCUUGUGUUCUCUCAGAGGGGAAGAAUGAGGCGGCAGACACUCACUGGUUGAGGAAGGCGAACAGGUUUUCCAUCCCUGCAGCAGGAAACAGAGAGACGUCUCCAGGCUUCAUUUGAAGGGAAAAACUUCAGAGGCAAGCGGACAUGAGAUGGUUAAACUCCCUCACUUUUCCUCCAGUUUUGCUCAAAAACGGAAUCUGAGCAUUCAGUGAGACUGAUUGCAGUGCAUAUAUUUAUUUCUUGAUGUCGUUGACCUCGACCUGUGAGCCUGAAACCCGGAAGAUGCCCUGAUGCUGAAGACCUGAGGAAAACAUCUGGGUUUGACUGGAAGCUGCAUUACACAGGGACGCCAGGCGGGUCUGGAGCUGAGUGAGGCGCAGCGACAGCUCAGCCUGGACCUGCGGCUGCGAGGCGAUCUGGGUCGUCUGUCAAGAAGCGAAACGUCACCAAAACCGCAAAUCCUCAGACUGAACUCACUGUGUCGCCCAUGUGCGCCUGGAAUCCGAAGCGCUGCGGUGGGCAGAAGGCAGUGGGGUAGAGGCCCAGCAGGCGCUGCC